AGAAAGCAGGAAACUGUCAGUACAUCUGUGCACACAAAUUAUUACAGGCCCAUUACAGCCUGUACAAUAGCAGGCACAUCUCCACAACUAUUACACAAAUAUAACGUAAAAAACUUCUCGAUAGAGGUUAACAGGAAUUUCAAGAAGAAAAUCUAAGGAAUAGAAUGACUUGUAACACAAUCAACAGUGUAGCAGCAAUAGUUGGCAAACUGUUCCAGUAAGAGAAGACCAGCAGGGAAAGGAAGUAGUAGUGUCUGUCGACGCAUUUCGUGUGCCGCGGUCCACUCUUAACGAGUGCAUAAAUAAGUGAUACAGAUAAUGAGACUGUCGUAUAUUGAAGCGACCAUGACAGAAGAUAAGAGGGAUUUUAGACUGAUUACUAAAGAUAAUAGGUUGAGCUGCAUUAUUAAAUUAUGCUCCCAGAAUUCAUUAGAAGCAAUCUUUUACCGCGAUAGGAGGCCUGGUAAGCCAGAAAAGUCUCGGAAGUGGUGAUGCUGCCUUCAAGUUCCUGCAUAAGCUAGCUGUGGCGUGGAUUUUGACAGCGCCUGUUGGAUACCUGUAAACGUUUUCCCAGUGAAGAUGGACUAAAUAACAUUACAAAUAUGUGAAAGACUGCACUUGGCAAGUUUCGAAAACUUGCUACACCACAGUGGCCCAAAUAAGAGAAAAACUGUUUGGCAAGACAGACGAAGUGUGCAUUUAAAGAUAUUUCGGUUAACUUCAGUUAGAGGUUGACUGAACCAAAAAAAAAAAAAAAACGAAGGCCAAGUUUCCAUCGUUUCAAGCUUCGCGCCAAAGCGGCAGUGGCGUCACGGAUCUCGGAAGCAUUACCGCGUUUGGGCCGUUAAUUGUGGCGCCGUAAAAAUUGUCGAAUGUCACUCAGUUCGGUUUUUGGCGCCUUUAAAGUGCAAUGUAGUCUGUGUUUACCGGUUAAAAAUGUAACUGGGGCACAGCAGACGUCGCCAAAAUCCACGAAAUCGUAUUUUAUGAAACUAUGCACGGAAUCCGAUGCGGGAACUUCAAGAGAGUAGUAUGGCGGAGUGACCACCGACACUUCGUCUUUCGCGCCUUUUCGGUCUUCUGAAACUUCCUAUUGUACCCUGUUCAGUGCAAUGACAGAGGUAGCGACUGAGGUCGCACUACCGCCCCUGUGUGUGGCGACCAAAAUGACUGACACUCGCAGCGCCCGAUGCUCAAAUCGGCCGGCAAUAGUUCUGCGAGUCGCCGGUGCGAGCCAACUCCUUCCGUCGGGUCCACCGGUGGGCGGGAGUUCGGUGCUAUAGCCCGGUAAGAUGUGAUCGGAGAACGUGAUAGCCCGGAGAACGUGCUCUCGGGCUCAUGCCACUGCCGCCCAGAAGAUACGGAUAUCCGGUGCGUCCCGUUAGAUCGGUUUCGUACGCGAUGGGCUCGAAGCUGUCAACGUCGACUGUCUCCAGCAUUCUUUGGAUCAGCGCGGAAAACUACAGCAACACAAAAAUGGGAAGCGCACAGGGUGAGCGCUGGAAGAAUGCAAUCAAUCAAAUCAAUCAAAUCUUUAUUUCCAACGACAGUUGGGGGUCCCUUAGGCGAAAAAGCGGUAGUAACACCACUUGAAAAUACCUAAAGGUCCACGUACAUGACAGCGGUAUUAUGAUUCAUACGUUCAAAAACAAAUUUACAAUAAUCAAGUAAAAAAUGCAGUUCAAAAAAAAAAAAUAAGAAGAGGUUGUGCAAAUACAACAACGGAACAAUAGAACAAAUAAUGUCAAUAUAUAAGUACACUCCAGAACAGUUGUACAUUAUAGUUGAAAUAUUGAAUGUUCACGUGAACACACAUCAUAAAAUGACGAAAAUAAACGUGUUACAAGGAAUAAUGAA